GACAGAGGCCUCAAGCGUUAGGCGGAAUCACUGGGCUUAAAGCGUGUGUAGGCGGAUCGUUAAGUACCUUGUGAAAUCCCACGGCUCACCCGUGGAACUGCUGGGUAUACUGGCGAUCUUGGGCCAACUAGGGGCAGCUGGAACAAGCGGUGGAGCGGUGAAAUGCGUAGAUAUCGCUUGGAACGCCAAAGGUGAAAACAGGCUGCUGGGGUUGUGCCGACGCUGAGACACGAAAGCCAGGGGAGCAAACGGG
rnacentral:rRNA from 1 species